rnacentral:rRNA from 1 species
UGGGGAAUAUUGGACAAUGGGCGAAAGCCUGAUCCAGCCAUGCCGCGUGAGUGACGAAGGCCUUAGGGUUGUAAACCUCUGUCACCGGGGAAGAAACGCUUCAAGUUAACAGCUUGAAGCCUGACUUAACCCGGAGAGGAAGCAGUGGCUAACUCUGUGCCAGCAGCCGCGGUAAUACAGAGACUGCAAGCGUUAUUCGGAUUCACUGGGCGUAAAGGGUGCGUAGGCGGAAGGAUAAGUUAGUUGUGAAAGGCCUGGGCUUAACCUAGGAACUGCAAUUAAGACUGUCCAUCUAGAGUUGAGUAGAGGGGAGCGGAAUUUCCGGUGUAGCGGUGAAAUGCGUAGAUAUCGGAAGGAACAUCAGUUGCGAAGGCGGCUCUCUGGACUCAAACUGACGCUGAGGCACGAAAGCGUGGGUAGCGAACAGGAUUAGAUACCCCGGUAGUCCCUGAGCGGGCUGGCAAGGCGCAU